AAGUCGUAACAAGGUUUCCGUAGGUGAACCUGCGGAAGGAUCAUUAAUGAGAUAGGGUCCUUCGGGGCCCGACCUCCAACCCAUAUCUACCUCACCACUGUUGCCUCGGCGGGACGCCGACGCCCCCUAAGAAGGGCGCUGGCCGAAGGCUUAGGCCCUCGAGCGCCCGUCGGUGGACUAAUGAAAACCCAUUUAAUGAAGCCUUCUGAGAGUAUUAUACAAUACAUUAAAA
rnacentral:misc_RNA from 1 species